GACGAACGCUGGCGGCGUGCUUAACACAUGCAAGUCGAACGGAGAAUUUAUUUCGGUAAAUUCUUAGUGGCGAACGGGUGAGUAACGCGUGGGCAACCUGCCCUUCAGAUGGGGACAACAUCCCGAAAGGGGUGCUAAUACCGAAUACGAUCACGCUGCCGCAUGGCGGUGUGAUGAAAGAUGGCCUCUAUUUAUAAGCUAUCGCUGAAGGAUGGGCCUGCGUCUGAUUAGCUAGUUGGUGGGGUAACGGCCUACCAAGGCGAUGAUCAGUAGCCGGUCUGAGAGGAUGAACGGCCACAUUGGGACUGAGACACGGCCCAAACUCCUACGGGAGGCAGCAGUGGGGAAUAUUCCGCAAUGGACGAAAGUCUGACGGAGCAACGCCGCGUGAGUGAUGAAGGUUUUCGGACUGUAAAACUCUGUUGUUUAGGACGAAAGUGCCUGUUGCAAAUAGUUGCAGGUAUUGACGGUACUGAACGAGGAAGCCACGGCUAACUA
rnacentral:rRNA from 1 species